rnacentral:rRNA from 1 species
CCUAUGGGUGGCAGCAGUGAGGAAUAUUGGUCAAUGGGCGUAAGCCUGAACCAGCCAAGUCGCGUGAGGGAUGACGGUUCUAUGGAUCGUAAACCUCUUUUAUAAGGGAAUAAAGUGCUGGACGUGUCCCGUUUUGUAUGUACCUUAUGAAUAAGGAUCGGCUAACUCCGUGCCAGCAGCCGCGGUAAUACGGAGGAUCCGAGCGUUAUCCGGAUUUAUUGGGUUUAAAGGGUGCGUAGGAGGCCUGUUAAGUCAGCGGUGAAAGUCUGUGGCUCAACCAUAGAAUUGACGUUGAAACUGGGAGGCCUGAGGAUAUUAGAGGCAGGCGGAAUGCGUGGUGUAGCGGUGAAAUGUUUAGAUAUCACGCAGAACCCCGAUUGCGAAGGCAGCCAGCCAAGCCAUGACUGACGCUGAGGCACGAAAGCGUGGGGAUCAAACAGGAUUAGAUACCCGAGUAGUC